AUUGAACAUAAGAGUUUGAUCCUGGCUCAGAUUGAACGCUGGCGGCAUGCUUUACACAUGCAAGUCGGACGGCAGCACAGGGAAGCUUGCUUCUCGGGUGGCGAGUGGCGAACGGGUGAGUAACAUAUCGGAACGUACCGGGUAGCGGGGGAUAACUGAUCGAAAGAUCAGCUAAUACCGCAUACGUCUUGAGAGGGAAAGCAGGGGACCUUCGGGCCUUGCGCUAUCCGAGCGGCCGAUAUCUGAUUAGCUGGUUGGCGGGGUAAAGGCCCACCAAGGCGACGAUCAGUAGCGGGUCUGAGAGGAUGAUCCGCCACACUGGGACUGAGACACGGCCCAGACUCCUACGGGAGGCAGCAGUGGGGAAUUUUGGACAAUGGGCGCAAGCCUGAUCCAGCCAUGCCGCGUGUCUGAAGAAGGCCUUCGGGUUGUAAAGGACUUUUGUCAGGGAAGAAAAGGCCGUUGCCAAUAUCGGCGGCCGAUGACGGUACCUGAAGAAUAAGCACCGGCUAACUACGUGCCAGCAGCCGCGGUAAUACGUAGGGUGCGAGCGUUAAUCGGAAUUACUGGGCGUAAAGCGGGCGCAGACGGUUACUUAAGCAGGAUGUGAAAUCCCCGGGCUCAACCCGGGAACUGCGUUCUGAACUGGGUGACUCGAGUGUGUCAGAGGGAGGUGGAAUUCCACGUGUAGCAGUGAAAUGCGUAGAGAUGUGGAGGAAUACCGAUGGCGAAGGCAGCCUCCUGGGAUAACACUGACGUUCAUGUCCGAAAGCGUGGGUAGCAAACAGGAUUAGAUACCCUGGUAGUCCACGCCCUAAACGAUGUCAAUUAGCUGUUGGGCAACUUGAUUGCUUGGUAGCGUAGCUAACGCGUGAAAUUGACCGCCUGGGGAGUACGGUCGCAAGAUUAAAACUCAAAGGAAUUGACGGGGACCCGCACAAGCGGUGGAUGAUGUGGAUUAAUUCGAUGCAACGCGAAGAACCUUACCUGGUUUUGACAUGUGCGGAAUCCUCCGGAGACGGAGGAGUGCCUUCGGGAGCCGUAACACAGGUGCUGCAUGGCUGUCGUCAGCUCGUGUCGUGAGAUGUUGGGUUAAGUCCCGCAACGAGCGCAACCCUUGUCAUUAGUUGCCAUCAUUCGGUUGGGCACUCUAAUGAGACUGCCGGUGACAAGCCGGAGGAAGGUGGGGAUGACGUCAAGUCCUCAUGGCCCUUAUGACCAGGGCUUCACACGUCAUACAAUGGUCGGUACAGAGGGUAGCCAAGCCGCGAGGCGGAGCCAAUCUCACAAAACCGAUCGUAGUCCGGAUUGCACUCUGCAACUCGAGUGCAUGAAGUCGGAAUCGCUAGUAAUCGCAGGUCAGCAUACUGCGGUGAAUACGUUCCCGGGUCUUGUACACACCGCCCGUCACACCAUGGGAGUGGGGGAUACCAGAAGUAGGUAGGGUAACCGCAAGGAGUCCGCUUACCACGGUAUGCUUCAUGACUGGGGUGAAGUCGUAACAAGGUAGCCGUAGGGGACCUGCGGCUGGAUCACCUCCUUUCUAG
rnacentral:rRNA from 1 species